rnacentral:rRNA from 1 species
GACGAACGCUGGCGGCGUGCUUAACACAUGCAAGUCGAACGGAAAGGCCCUGCUUGCAGGGUACUCGAGUGGCGAACGGGCGAGUAACACGUGGGUGAUCUGCCCUGCACUUCGGGAUAAGCCUGGGAAACUGGGACCAAUACCGGAUAGGAGCCAGUUUUAGUGUGAUGGUUGGAAAGUUGUUUCGGUGUAGGAUGAGCUCGCGGCCUAUCAGCUAGUUGGUGGGGUAAUGGCCUACCAAGGCGGCGACGGGUAGCCCGCCGGAGAGGGUGGACGGCCACAAUGGGACUGAGAUACGGACCAGACUCCUACGGGAGGCAGCAGUGGGGAAUAUUGCACAAUGGGCGCACGCCUGAUGCAGCGACGCCGCGUUGGGGAUGACGGCCUUCGGGUUGUGAACUCCUUUCGCUAGGGACGAAGCUUUUGUGACGUUACCUAGAUAAGAAGCACCGGCUAACUACGUG